AUGUGCAGUAUGACAAAAAUGUGGUGUUUUUUGAAAAUUAAACCAUGUAAACCUGUUCUGGUACAACCCCUAAAUAGGAUUUUGAACCUGAACAUGAGCAUAAUACCACCUCUUUAAGGUUAGAUAAGGUUCCCUUGACUGUCGGUUGGAAACAGGAAGUAAACAGCAUGUAACUGGUGCACACUUUUUUAAUCGGGCCAAUCGCAUCUUGAACUUUUAUGCCGGUAAACCGAUGCGAAUCUGUGAUUCUUACCAUCCUCAGUGGGUGAGCGCUGUCACACAAACACAGACACACAAACAUGGUAAAUAAAUUAAGUUGUAAACUUUAGCAAACCUCAUGUGGUAAUUUUAUUUUCUGAAAAAGAUUUAUUAAGAGUGAAGUCACCUGAAGUGGAGUACCAGGGAGUCUGUGUUGCUCAGGGAGAUGAAAGGCAAACAGAGACUUUUGGAAGAAUAAAUUGAGGGCUCUGAUCACUUCCUCUUCUUGUCAUCCUCUCUCCCUGCUUUCGUCCCUAUGAUUCCUCCAUACAGAUUUGAGGUAAAGAGAGUUCCACAUCAACGUGUGAACACUUGGCUCUUUGCACUGACUGAUUUAUUUACGAAGCAUUGCAAGAGUGUUACGGAGAAUGUGUGUGCCUGUGUGAGUGUAUGUGAGUGGUUUUCUUUGCUUGUAUAUAAAUGUUUACAUGGUGCUGGAAUGUUCUGAAAUGUGAUCUACUCACCAGAGAGUGCCAACAGCCACGUAAAUGCACACACUCACACACACACACAGACACACCUACUACAGCUCUGAAGAACAUUACUGGCUGGGUGUGCUGGUUACACGGUUGGUUAGAUCAGUUUAUUCAAUGCAUUCCUCUUCUGUCUAAAAACUGCAACACACAGUACACAAAUGUCCCGGAAAAAUGUAUUGUCAUUCUUCACACACACACACACACACAACACACACAAUAUGGCAUUAUGUCAUUAUUGUGGUGUUGGUUGCAUCAGGCCAGAGGGACAAAUACUGAAUCAGAGCUUGGAUAAGCUGAAUUGACCUCCCAUAAAACAAAUUCUGAGGGGCUACAGAGGCACCACUUGAUCCCAAACCCCCAUCCCACCCACACAACACGCACACACACAAACACACACAGGAUGGCGGGCCAGGGGUAAGCAAGGCUGUUCUGUUUGACAACUAAUGAAGCAGGCCUCAAAGACAAGAUGGCACUUGCUGCCAUUUCCACUCUGAACACAAACACACACACACACGGGCAAACUACCAUCCAUGACUCUGAAUAACAAUCACAACAAAUGAAAGUGGCUGUGAGGGGGAAACUUUCCUCAUUGUCUGUUUUAAUUUGAGUCUUAUUUAACGAGUUGAGAAUCAAACGGCGGAUAAGGGGUGGGCGGCGGGCGAGGCGGCGCACAGAGACGACAAAAGACGCUGAGAGGGGGAGAAGAAGAAGAAAACGACAGAGAGACAUCAGACUCCAUCAGUCUGAAAAUAGAGCAGUUUUUUGUUUCAUCCGACAGGGAGAGGUGUCGAUAAUUAGGCUCUGUCAGGUAGAGUGGGGAGUGUGUGUUCCUGUGUGUGUGUGUCUGUGUGUGUGUAGAGUCUUCCUGACAGUAUGUGCUGAGAGCACUGUAAAUGCAUGGGUAAUGGUUGUCAGUAUGUGACAGCUAUAAAUGGCCCUUUAGUUCUCUUCUCAGCACUACAUUGACACACACACCCUCUCUCUCUCUUCACCCUUCUCACACUCUCUCUCACACACGUGCACACAUUGGAGCAAAGGAUCUUCAUUUUCAUGUUCAUCACCUUAAUUAUCAUCAGCACCAACACACACCAGCCUCUCCACUCGAGGGAGCAACACUGAGAACAAGAAUGUUGGAGGUUACCGUGCAGCUUGUUAACAUCAGAGACCUGUAAUUAAAAAAACUUCAUCGGACCUAUUUGACUGGCAAAGUAUUAUAAAUGGUUAUUUAUUGUUACAUAUGGAGAGUUUUAUUCAAGAGGGAACCCUCCGGGCAUGAAAAAUAAAGUCAAUGCGGAAGUGCCUUAAAUCUGCAUUCUUUCUAAAUUCCAGCAGGGGGCUACUCCACUGGUUGCAAAGUGACCACUUCUCACCUGAUUUAUUAUUAUAACUUCAGCAUUUUUAAACCUGGUCCCUAUUUUCACAUAUUUUGCUGUUGAAAUGACUAAUAGGUACAAAAGGUUUUGGAAUCUGUGCAGUAGACGGCUUCAGCUGGCAGUCAUGACCCGGCUGCAGUGGCUGUAACAUGUUCCUGUGGGGCAACUGUGUCAAUCAAAAAUAUGUGUGCAGAAAGUGCUUCUUUUUACCACUGACAUUUGUGUAACCUGACUGAUAAUUUAACAGAUUAACUAAAACACUGGACUAAAAUAACUGAUUAAACACACAUUCGAAAAAAUAACACCGGUUAAUGUUGAGGAACAAGUGAGUUAUCUUAACUAAUGUUUGGGCACAUUAUCAACUUAAAUAUUUUUUUAUAAAUAAAAAAGUGCCAAAAAUUCCUUUAAAAAAACAAAGUUACAUACACAAAAAAUGAGAACGCUAAUAAAAGCACCACACAGAUCAAAGAUAUUUUUUAAAAAAAGAGAAAUCGAAUUCAUCUGAGGUGGGAUAGUGCAAUUCAAUACAAUAAUACAUCAGAAUUACUGGUGGUUGAAUGAUUAUGUAAUAUUGUCCUCUUCUUGAUUAUAUUCGUAGUGCAGCUGAUGGAAACAUACAUUGAUUAAUAUUUCUUUUUGGCGGAAAUUCAGAAAUUAGCUAGAAACUUGAAUUGCAUAUGAGAUGGGUUUUUGUUUAAAAUAUCGACCACAAAAGUACCAAAAACACCAAAAUAGUUUAAUGAAAACAGGAGCUCAUAACAGUGAGCUAAAAACACAGCUAUGACAACGUGUUCUCUAAGAUGGUAACUAUGUGGUGAGAGAUGGUCAUCCUAGGAAAAGGUUAAAAGGCUAAUGUGUUGCUUUGGAAAAAGGAUCCCUUAAAAAAAUGUUCUUGGCUACCAAAAUAGGUUUCUAAACUAGCCAUCACUCUGUGUGUCGCUCACAUAAACACACACCCUCAGCGAGGUCACAGUUCAGACAGCUGGAUAAUAACAUUACAACUAAUGGACUCUCAUCUGUUUAUUCAUAAAGGUUUCCUCUUUCUUUUUCUCUGUGUGAGCAAGUGUAAGUGUAAGUGUGUGUGUGUGUGUGUGUGUGUGUGUGUGUGUGUGUGUGUGUGUGUGUGUGUGUGUGUGUGUGUGAGAGAGAGAGUGCACAGGCAGAGAGGACCGUUUUCAGCGGUUUCAGGUUGCGUCUCUUGGGAUGCUGUGGUGACUAUACGCUCAGUGCUUUGCUGCACAGGCAGGUCUGUGUGGAUGUGAGCUGGUCACAGGUGCCAACCAACACCCGCUGAUGACAACAGAAAGGUGCUCAUGGGAACUGCGGUGCAGGUAGAGAAGCCUGGACGGACAGUUCCUGACAGCUGGCCAAUCAGCUCUACUGAAACCUUUCCCUUGGUGUCAUCAGCAGACCUCAAUCGUUGUGCUGCCCCCUGAACUGCUGCUGGAAAGUUUCUCCAGGGGAGAAUGCAGGGAAAUGUCUCUUUAAAUUUGCAUUUAAAGCAUGCUGAGAUAUAAUCUUAUACCAUGUCAACACUGUGGCAUAUGAUUUUAAAGGCAACACAUAAUUUUUUUUAUUGUGUGUACUUUUUUUAACACUUGUGGUUUAAGUUAAAUUAUAGAUUUAAUUUUACAGUUAUUAUUUUUAUAUAUUUAGCAUUCUAUGUUACCUAGUUACCAUAAACUUCCAAAUGUCAUUGAAAUGUUUGCUGUUUGUGGAAAGAAAGGUAAAGGUAAACAAACAUGUUGCUGGUUGCUGUGUUUCUCCAUGGAUAAUUCCAAGUCAGUCCUCUGGUACACAAAGAGGUCGUGAUUCCCAUGUACCAGCUGGGAAUUUCCAACUUUGAGUUGUGUGACAUCAUUGAGCAUUGGUUACUCCAUCACUUUCUGUUCAUAAUGUUAGUUAAUUUUUGAAUGUUUUAAACUAAAGUUUUGGCCAUGUCAUACACAUUGUACCUUUAAGUGCACUGUUAUAUAUAGCAUUUAACCUAGCUUAGCAUUACUCUCUCUUUUUUAUAUCAUUAAUGAAGGGUGAUUCAGCUCUUCAAUGCCUGAAUAACACUCAUAAAAUAUAAGAUAUAUACAGCAAAUAUUUAUUUAUGAAAUUAAAACUAGAGUACCUAUAAGUUCUUGUAAAAGGUUAAAACAACCUGAUAUCCCCAGCCUGAUAGGCCUGGUAGCUAA